rnacentral:lncRNA from 1 species
AAAUAAAGCGGCAAGUGUGCCUCUCUAUUUUGUGUUUGUUUUUUGUUUUCCCAAAUACCUCUUUUUAAUUUCCCUACUGCCGCCACUGUAGUCCCACCCCCUUCUUCUUCCCCAUUUCUCCUCAUUGUGAUCUUCAUCCAAUCAUCCUCCAUAAUCCAAAAUUUGCACCCAUGAUAGAUCAUUUCUCUAUCACACACAUACACAUAAUCCAAAAUGUUUAAUUUUUUUCAAAAUCUUUUCUAUUUAACAACAUAAAGAGAUUAAAUUUGUAAUGCUGUGCGUUUUAAGAUUCAACACCACUUCUACUUUGGUACAAAUUUGUGGUAUGUAACGUUAUCUCUAGUGCAAUUUUUCUGGUGCGUUUCUAGAAAUCUCCUUUCCUUCCAUUUAUUAGGCAUUGUAAAUUUGGGUUUCUCCUCACGAUAUAUUGUGUUUAUGUAGUAGUGGUAUCUUAUUUAAUAUUUUUUUUGGUAAUUAAAUGAUUUUAUUUACCAGUAUCAAUAUGCACAAACAACAAUGCAACUUGAGCCUAGACAGUCCCUAGGCUCAGACAACUCUAUCUACUUAACAUCCUCACAAUUCUAAGGAUAAAAGUUCAGUUCUUCAAUCUUCUUUUGCUAAUCUAGUCUGCAUUAAUCCUCUACUUAUCACCUCUUGAUAUUGUGUCUAAUUAGCACUUCAGUCUGUUGUUGUUGCCCUUGAAAGACUCUCAUAUUACUUUCUCUCCAUAAAUUGUAUACAACACAAGUAUUUGAAAGGUAAUUCACCUUUGGAAAAUCCCACAACAUGCAUCAUCUCCUGUUGUACUUCAUGUGGCACACCUCCAAAGUAGAUGGAACUCUUAGCAACAUUUGCUUUAAGUCCAGAUGCUUUGGAGAAUUCUGUGAAGCAUUUAUACACCAUUUGCACAGAUACAGUGUCUCCCCUAUAUAAUAAUAACAAGUCAUCCGCAAAUUCUAGCUGUAUAAUGUUCAAUUUGUCACAUCUUGGAUGAAAAUUAAAGUUAGGAUCAUUCCUCAAUGUUUUCAAUCUUCUAGUAAGGUAUUCCAUACCAAGCACAAACAUAAUAAGGAGACAAUGGAUCACCUUGUCUCAAUCCUUUCCUAAUUUGGAAUGGCUCAGCAGGUUUCCCAUUUAUAAGAAUUGAAUAUGACACAGUGCUCACACACAUCAUUAUCCAUUUAACAAACUUCUCAGUCAUAUUCAGGCUAGUUAAGACUUGUUCAAGAAAUACCCAUUCAAUGGAAUCAUAAGCUUUCUGCAGGUCUAACUUCAUCAUGCAUCUGGGUAAGAUCAUUUUUCUUCCAUACCCCUGUACUAAUUCAUGACUUAGAAUUAUAUUGUCAGCAAUAACUCUUCCUGGCACGAAUCCUGGCUGGCUAUUAUCAACUAACUGGUCCAUUACCUCUUGCAGUCUAGUAGUCAGUAUCUUAGAGAUAAUUUUUACAGAACUGUACAACAGGAUAUAGGCCUGAACUCUCUAAUGGUUGAGGGGUGGUGUACCUUAGGUAUAAAAGUGACUGUAGUCACAUUGAUGGGUCAAUACAUUUUUCCUGUGUUAAAGAACCGCAGGACUGCCUCUGUGAUCUCCCGUCCUGUGAUAGCCCAUGUUUUCUUAAAAAAUAAUGAAUUGAAUCCAUCACACCCUGGAGCUUUUAAAUCAUCUAUGUGCAUUGUAUACCUCCUCUACACUUACAGGCUCUAUGAGUUUCAUCUGUUGGCAUCUAUUAAGCACCCUCCCUUCUUUCAUAGUACUCGGUUGAAUGGCUAUCAUGGCUGCUGCAGAUGAGCCAAGCAAUUCUUUGUAAAAUACCACCGCUUCACUUUCAAUUGCACCCAUUGUUUGAACUAUUUCUCCCGCAAGAGUCAUCAGACUCCUAAUCUUAUUUUGACUAACUCUAUUCUUCAUAUUGGCAAAGAAGAAAGCAGAGUUUGAGUGUCCCAAUUUUAACCGCUGAUUUCUGGAUUUUUGUUUGAAAAUACUUUCUUCAAUAUUGACCCAUUUCUCCAGUUGCUUCUUCAGUUACUUCUCCUCUUCAAACAAGUUUGAUUGUAAGUAGUUAGAUCUCAUUUUCUCUUGUAUCUCCUUUAGUUGGUGUCUGGCCUGCUUCACUUUUGCAUCAAUUGUUGCAAACUCAGUAAUGUUUAGCUUCUUUAAUUCUCUUCUUACUUCUUUCAGUUUUCUCCAUACUCCAGGCAUUUGAGUUAUUUUUUGUCUUUCCCAUAGCCUUGCAACUAUUGUUAGGAAUUCUUUAUGUUCUGCCAGAUGGUUGAAGAACCUGAAAGGCCUAGAGUUAUGUGGUUCAUCUCCAAAUUUGACACAUAGGGGAGAGUGAUAUGAGAAAUAAAGAUCCAUAAUCAUAGCAUCCAAUUGUGGCAUAUUGGUUACCCAUUCAGAGUUAACUAUUGCCCUAUCUAUUCUGUUAAAGACAUGAGAAUUUAUCCAUGCGAAGCUUCUCCCUAUUGUUCUCAUUUCAAACAUCCCUGAAUUUGUCAGGAACUCUUUAAAAUCUCUAAUUUCCCAUCUUGUACUGGAUUCCCAUUACUUCUGUCAUCUACUGAUAAGAUUGUGUUAAAAUCACCCAUACAUAGCCAAGAUCAUUGUUGAGAGUGGCUCCAGCUUAGCAAAUUCACCCAUAAGCUUUUCCUUGUAUCUACUGUGUGGAGUCCAUAUAUAGCUGUAAAAGUGAAUUCCUGUCUGCUAGCAAAUAAUUUUACCUCCCCAUGAAUAUACUGAGGUUUGCACCCUAUCAUAGUAAAUUUUAUUUCAUUAGGAUCCCACACUAUCCAUAUCCUUCCUCUGCCUCCAACUUCAUAGUUUGUACACCAUUUCCACUUAGGGGCUAUCUUAUUUAGAAUCGUACUUGAAUACUUCUCUUGCACUCUAUGUUCUACUAUAGCAAUAAUACUAAUAUUAUUUUCCCUGAUAAACCUCUACAUCUCCUUUUGCUUAUAAGCUUUAUUCAAGCCUCUAACAUUCCAGAUGACCAGCUUCAUAAACUAUUUGGUCUGGUAGUACAACCUCCUCCAGAACCCCACGACUACUCUGCCCUCCUUCCAUUCUGCUAGUGCCAAUACUUGUCUGAUGAGCAUUUGUUCUAGUAAGGGAAGAAAAGCCAUUUCCUAUAACCAAUCUCUCUUCAGCAGCAGUAUGAUUAUUUUUAGCAGCAGAUUUUCCCCUUACUUCCUGCCACCCCUCAUCUUUACGAUUUGCUUGCUUCUGAGCUUGGAUGCUUUCUUUUAUGUCUUGGCUAAUUUCUGAUUUUUUACUGUCCACAAUUAUUUAUGGUCCUUCAUUUCCAGUCACUGAGUUGUUCUGCUCCUUAGGUUUCCAUUCCUGCCUUUGCUUUGGUUGUUUGGCAUGUUGUUGCUGCAUUGCUAUCUUGUUUAGGCAAUUAUGUCCCAGCUGCAAACAUGUGCUACAAUACACAGGUUUCCAAUCGUAGCUAAUUAUUUGCUCAAAUUGUCUUCCAUUUAGAUCUCGCACUGUUAUCUUUGUAGGCAAUGGCCUGGUAAUAUCCAUUUCCACAAGAAUUAUGGCAUAUAUGAGAUCUUCUCCACUUUAGUGGUACAUCCAUUAGCAUAAAUUGGUGUCCCUAGCCCACUUCCAAUUCGACUCAAAGAAUCAACUCCCCAAUAGUUCAAUGGUAAGUUUGGAAGCUUAACCCACAAGGGAAGAGUCUUCAAUACUUCCUCCUUGAAAUCAAAGUCAGGAGCCCAUGCCUUAGUGAUCACUGACUUGCUAUUGAUUGUACUUGGCCCUGAAUAUAACACUUCAUUCCUUUCUUCUAUACUAUCCUUUCUUCUAUACUACUGAACUUAACAACAAAAAAACCUUCAUUGUGAUAGUAUACCUUUGGCUUUGUUACAAAAUUCUACUGGAACACGAUAAAUCUUUCAACAGCUCCAAUACUAGGUGUAUCUCCAACUACGUACAUGAUUACUGCCUUCCUCCAUUUCUCUGUUUCCUUCUCAACUUCAGCUUGCUGUAAUUUAAUUAUUUUUUCCCCAUUGUGUAUCAUUGGAGGUACAUAGGUGAGCCCCAUUCCUCUAGCCGCAUAGGUAUUCCUCGCCACUAGAUUUGCCCAGAAAUUGGAUCCAGUAGUAGGCUUUGUUCCAACUGCUUUAGCUUCUUCACACCCAGUGUCAUCAGUUCCUUUGCAUCCCUUUUUUCCUAUCUCCAAGUCAUGCAUAUUUCCUUUAGGAUUUGCACUCAGUUGUAAUUGCACUCGGCAUUUCCCCCAAUUUCAUAUUAUUUAAUUUAAAUAAUAUGAAAAAGAUUUGAAGAUUUUUUUUUUUUUUUGAGAGUUCAAGUACUCAAAAUUUCACAUCGCUUACUCUGAAUUUUUAUGGUUAUUUGCAGCCAAAGAUGAAUAAAAAAUUUUAUUGUGCAACUUCAAGUAAGUAUUUUUUUUCUUUUACAUGUAUUCAUCUCUCAUUCUAUUAUUUCCUUCACUAAUUAAUACAUAAUUUAUAGUUAAAGUUUUAAUAUAUAUUUUUAUCAUGACAUAAAAAAGUAUGUACUUAAUUAUAACUUUUGUUUUUCACGGGUACAAGAACGUGGAAAUUU